AUGAUCCCAUGGCUGAAUUUGUUGUCCUUGUUAGUGUUCCUUCAAGGAGUCCCGUCUCAAGUCCAGCUGGUGGAGUCUGGAGGGGAUGUGAAAAGACCUGGAGAUUCCCUCCGUCUCUCCUGCCAAGCCUCUGGAUUCACCUUCAGCGACUAUGCCAUGAGCUGGGUGAGACAGUAUCCAGGAAAAGGCCUGGAAUGGGUGGCCUACAUAAGUACAUACUCAACUCCAAUUUACUACUCAGACAAAGUCAAGGGACGCUUCACCAUCUCCAGGGAUGAUUCCCGCAGCCAGAUCUAUCUUCAAAUGAACAAUCUUAAACCAGAGGACACAGCUGUCUAUUAUUGUGCAAGACGCACAGUGAGAGGAAGUGAAUCUGAUGCCAAGCAAAAACCUUCUCCUCCUCUGAGAAACUUUCGAAAUUGAUUCAGAAAGUC